rnacentral:rRNA from 1 species
AACCUGGUUGAUCCUGCCAGUAGCAUAUGCUUAUCUUGGAGAUUAAGCCAUGCAUGUCUGAGUAUAAGUUAUAUACGGCGAAACUGCGAAUGGCUCAUUAAAACAGUUAUAGUAUACUUGAUGAUGUUCUUAUAUGGAUAACCGUUGGGAAACCAGAGCUAAUACAUGCUUAAAAGCCUUCGGGCUGUAUUUAUUAGUUAUAGCCAACACCUUCGGGUUUUGUGACGAUUCAUAAUAACUGAUCGAAGCGUACUUGUGUGCGCUAAAUCUUUCUAGUUUCUGCUCUAUCAGCUUGAUGGUAGUGUAUUGGACUACCAUGGCGAUCACGGGUAACGGAGAAUUAGGGUUCGAUUCCGGAGAGGGAGCCUGAGAAACGGCUACCACAUCCACGGUAGGCAGCAGGCGCGUAAAUUACCCAAUCCUGAUUUAGGGAGGUAGUCACGAGAAAUAUAGUAGUUGCAUUUAGCAAUAUCUAACUGGGCUAAACAUACACAGUUCGGCGAAUGCGAUUGGAGGGCAAGUCUGGUGCCAGCAGCCGCGGUAAUUCCAGCUCCAAUAGUGUAUCUUAAUGUUGUUGCUGUUAAAAAGCUCGUAGUUGAAUUUCUGGCUCCCUAGCUGCGGAUCAUCCAAGGCAGGGGAGUCAUCCGCGUUGAACGCAUAUAUGCCUUAAAAGCUGUAUGUUGAAGACGUAUUUUACUUUGAAGAAAUUAGAGUGUUCCAGGCAAGCAAUGCUUGAAUAUUACAGCAUGGAAUAAUGGAAUAGGACUAUCCAUUCUGUUGGUUAAAUGGAUUAGUAAUGAUUAACAGGGACAGUUGGGGGCAUUCGUACUGGGCAGUCAGUGGUAAAAUACUGUGACCUGCUCAAGACGCACUAAUGCGAAAGCAUUUGCCAAGGAUGUUUUCAUUAAUCAAGAACGAAAGUUAGGGGAUCAAAGACGAUUAGAUACCGUCGUAGUCCUAACUAUAAACUAUACCGACUAGGGAUUGGCAGGGGAUGGCCCCUGUCAGCACCUAAUGAGAAAUCAAAGUCUUUGGGUUCAGGGGGGAGUAUGGUCGCAAGGCUGAAACUUAAAGGAAUUGACGGAAGGGCACCACCAGGAGUGGAGCCUGCGGCUUAAUUUGACUCAACGCGGGGAAACUUACCAGGGCCAGACUCGAGAAUGAUUGACAAUUUGAUAGCUUUUUCUUGAUUAUGAGGAAGGUGGUGCAUGGCCGUUCUUAGUUGGUGGAGUGAUUUGUCCGGUUAAUUCCCUUAACAAACGAGACCUUAACUUGCUAAAUAGACGCCGUACAUUCGUGGGGUUGUCUUCUUAGAGGGACUAUGUGCUAAACGCAUGGAAGUUUGAGGCAAUAACAGGUCCGUGAUGCCCUUAGACGUCCUGGGCCGCACGUGUGCUACACUGACUCGCGCAACGAGUUUUUACCUAACUCGAAAGAGGAUGGGAAAUCUUGUUAAUACGAGUCGUGCUAGGGAUAGAUCUUUGCAAUUUUGGAUCUUGAACGAGGAAUUCCUAGUAAGCAUAAGUCAUCAUCUUGUGCUGAUUACGUCCAUGCCCUUUGUACACACCGCCCGUCGCUCCUACCGAUUGAGUGAUCCGGUGAACUUUUUGGACGUUGGCGCAUGCUAAGCGGAAGCUAAGUAAACCUUAACACUUAGAGGAAGGAAAAGUCGUAACAAGGUUUCCGUAGGUGAACCUGCAGAAGGAUCA